AACGAACGCUGGCGGCAUGCCUAACACAUGCAAGUCGAACGAUGCUUUCGGGCAUAGUGGCGCACGGGUGCGUAACGCGUGGGAAUCUGCCCUUUGGUUCGGAAUAACAGUUAGAAAUGACUGCUAAUACCGGAUGAUGACGUUAAGUCCAAAGAUUUAUCGCCAGAGGAUGAGCCCGCGUAGGAUUAGCUAGUUGGUGUGGUAAAGGCGCACCAAGGCGACGAUCCUUAGCUGGUCCGAGAGGAUGAUCAGCCACACUGGGACUGAGACACGGCCCAGACUCCUACGGGAGGAAGCAGUGGGGAAUAUUGGACAAUGGGCGCAAGCCUGAUCCAGCAAUGCCGCGUGAGUGAUGAAGGCCUUAGGGUUGUAAAGCUCUUUUACCCGUGAUGAUAAUGACAGUAGCGGGAGAAUAAGCCCCGGCUAACUCCGUGCCAGCCGCCGCCGUAACAC
rnacentral:rRNA from 1 species